GGGCCCGCACAAGCGGUGGAGUAUGUGGUUUAAUUCGAUGAUACGCGAGGAACCUUACCAGGACUUAAAUGUAAGUUGCAUGAUUCAGAAAUGAAUCUUUCUUCGGACUACUUACAAGGUGCUGCAUGGUUGUCGUCAGCUCGUGUCGUGAGAUGUUGGGUUAAGUCCCGCAACGAGCGCAACCCACGUCUUUAGUUGCCAGCAUUUAGUUGGGCACUCUAGAGAGACCGCCGGUGAUAAACCGGAGGAAGGUGGGGACGACGUCAAGUCAUCAUGCCCCUUAUGUCCAGGGCUGCACGCAUGCUACAAUGGCAAGUACAACGAGUCGCAAUACCGCGAGGUGGAGCAAAUCUCUUAAAGCUUGUCUCAGUUCGGAUAGGAGUCUGCAACUCGACUCCUUGAAGUUGGAGUCGCUAGUAAUCGCAAAU
rnacentral:rRNA from 1 species